rnacentral:rRNA from 1 species
GACGAACGCUGGCGGCGUGCCUAAUACAUGCAAGUCGAACGCACUCUCGUUUAGAUUGAAGGAGCUUGCUCCUGAUUGAUAAACAUUUGAGUGAGUGGCGGACGGGUGAGUAACACGUGGGUAACCUGCCCUAAAGUGGGGAUAACAUUUGGAAACAGAUGCUAAUACCGCAUAAAACCUAAACACCGCAUGGUGUAGGGUUGAAAGAUGGUUUCGGCUAUCACUUUAGGAUGGACCCGCGGUGCAUUAGUUAGUGGUGAGGUAAAGGCUCACCAAGACCGUGAUGCAUAGCCGACCUGAGAGGGUAAUCGGCCACACUGGGACUGAGACACGGCCCAGACUCCUACGGGAGGCAGCAGUAGGGAAUCUUCCACAAUGGACGAAAGUCUAAUGAGCAACGCCGCGUGAGUGAAGAAGGUUUUCGGAUCGUAAAACUCUGUUGUUGGAGAAGAUGUAUCUGAUAGUAACUGAUCAGGUAGUGACGGUAUCCAACCAGAAAGCCACGG